rnacentral:misc_RNA from 1 species
AACAUCAUAUUUCCUGAAACAUAUCUGGCAUCUUGAACAUCAAUUUUCACAUGAUCCUUUCCCACAGUAAUCUUCAGAUUAAUUGUGAAGUGCAGCUUGAGCCAUUUCAAAGUUCAGAGAGACACUUCCCAUUGAUGAAAUCAAUUACUUGGGCAACUGCCUCGUCAAGUGCAGCAGUCACUGCUGCCAAAUUCUGCAGGAAUUCCUCUGCGGCUGGCUUCUCACCAUCUACAAUAUCAGUCACUGCUUUUACAAAUAUUGUAGGGACUUUUAAAAGAUCAGCAACAUAAGCAACUGCUGCUCCCUCCAUGUCUUUAACAGAAGCAUCAUUUGCAAUAAUUGUUGCUUCGUCCUGUGGAGACAUGUCCAAAGAGUCUCCAGUAGACAACUUGCCAACCUGAAACAUGAAGAUAUUGCAUAUUAGAAGUUCUAAGUGAUAUUGAAGGCUACAAAUGAAUGAAUCAGAAAAUUUUCCACCACAUCAUAAGAUCAGCA